rnacentral:rRNA from 1 species
AGUGAACGCUGGCGGUAGGCCUAACACAUGCGAGUCGAACGGCAGCACAGUAAGAGCUUGCUCUUACGGGUGGCGAGUGGCGGACGGGUGAGGAAUACAUCGGAAUCUACUUUUUCGUGGGGGAGAACGUAGGGAAACUUACGCUAAUACCGCAUACGACCUACGGGUGAAAGCAGGGGAUCUUCGGACCUUGCGCGAUUGAAUGAGCCGAUGUCGGAUUAGCUAGUUGGCGGGGUAAAGGCCCACCAAGGCGACGAUCCGUAGCUGGUCUGAGAGGAUGAUCAGCCACACUGGAACUGAGACACGGUCCAGACUCCUACGGGAGGCAGCAGUGGGGAAUAUUGGACAAUGGGCGCAAGCCUGAUCCAGCCAUACCGCGUGGGUGAAGAAGGCCUUCGGGUUGUAAAGCCCUUUUGUUGGGAAAGAAAAGCAGCAGGUUAAUACCCCGCUGUUCUGUCGGUACCCAAAGAAUAAGCACCGGCUAACUUCGUG